GAAAAUAGAAAGCUCAUGGCUGAAAUCAGAAAUCACAAGAUGAAUUCAUCACUUGUCCAAAGACACUCAGCUGCUAAAAGAAGUCGUACUUUUAGAGGGCUGUUGAGGAGGAAGCUAUGAGAAGAGAACCGACGAGCGUGGCCCUGAUUUCGGCCUCGCGCAGAACACUCACCUUGGGACGCUCGGAGGGGCCCUGGUGGGCCGAGACGGAACCUGUGGAGGUUCAUACUGGUUUAGGGAAGCACAUUCAGAAAAUGACACUGGACAAGCUGGGAGGCCUCCGGUGACGUGGAGCCAUCUUCUUACCUGCGGGAAUGCUGGAUCCAGGAGUCGUCCACCGGCGGCGGUGCGGGCG